ACGUACACUCCUACGGGAGGCAGCAGUGGGGAAUAUUGCACAAUGGGCGCAAGCCUGAUGCAGCCAUGCCGCGUGUAUGAAGAAGGCCUUCGGGUUGUAAAGUACUUUCAGCGGGGAGGAAGGCGAUAAGGUUAAUAACCUUGUUGAUUGACGUUACCCGCAGAAGAAGCACCGGCUAACUCCGUGCCAGCAGCCGCGGUAAUACGGAGGGUGCAAGCGUUAAUCGGAAUUACUGGGCGUAAAGCGCACGCAGGCGGUCUGUCAAGUCGGAUGUGAAAUCCCCGGGCUCAACCUGGGAACUGCAUUCGAAACUGGCAGGCUAGAGUCUUGUAGAGGGGGGUAGAAUUCCAGGUGUAGCGGUGAAAUGCGUAGAGAUCUGGAGGAAUACCGGUGGCGAAGGCGGCCCCCUGGACAAAGACUGACGCUCAGGUGCGAAAGCGUGGGGAGCAAACAGGAUUAGAAACCCUGGUAGUCCCAUG
rnacentral:rRNA from 1 species